rnacentral:tRNA from 1 species
GGUUUUGUAGCUCGGAGGGUAGAGCGUCAGUCUUGUAAGCGCUAGGCCGCGGGUUCGAUUCCCGCCCCA